rnacentral:lncRNA from 1 species
CUACAGACUCCAAUCCUUCAGUCGUUAACAACGAACAUCCUUCAAGCAAAAGUAACUUCACCCUCCUGUGCAAUGAGAAAGAAAACACAAAUCAGGUAUCUGCUUUGAUCAAAAUGUUUGAUUUCAAUUGAAGUACUAGAGUCAUCAUUCAUCAGGAUAUAUUUACUUCAAGAAAUUUUUAGCACAUUCUUGGCACGUUCAGCUUUAAGCGCUGUAAAUGUGGUCUGGUGGGACAAAAGUCACUUUUCCAGUUUAAUCAAAGAGAAGCCACUUGAGUGGCAAACCAAAACUAGGUCCACUAGGUUAUAAUGUCCUCCUUGUGAGCAUCGGUCACUAAGCCUUUUUGUAACCGUGAUCUAGCUUUAACUAUUUUGUUGGGUUUAUUUAUUAAGAAACAGAAGGAAAGAAUACAAGGGCAUACACAAAAAAGUAAAAACAACCGCUUUUUGUUGAGUUGGAAUUUGUUUUUUAGUUUUCUAGAGUUUCCCUUUUAUUUUGUUGGAAUGGUUCUUUUAUGUCUGUACAUUCUUUCAUUUCUAUCCAUGAAAGCCCGAUUUCUUACCCAAAAAUAAUAACAAUAAUAAUAAUCAUCGAUGUUGACCAUUUUCAGAAAACAAAUAUUUCAAUUGCGCAAGAUAUAAAUUCUACACUUGUGCUGUAAUACUUCACCAUGUUCAUUUGGUGUUGAAAUUGUCAGAAAUUAUGUCUAGCCAAAGUCCAAACAAACAAAAAAUAAUAUCAUUCUCUUCUUAUGGACCCAAGAGUUCAAAACUCGACAGAAAAUACACCAUGAUAAAUAAAUGACAAAAACAAGUAGCCAUAUAUUGGAAUGAGAUAGUCACAUAACACCACCCAUUCAACAACAAAAAUUAUUGCUCAUCCUAAUUCAUGAAAUCAGAUUUGAUCAGUUUUAGAACCAUCUAUCUGUAAGAGGUUCCUAUGUCCCCUCAAAGCAUAUCAAUUAUUGGCCUCUCAAAUGAUUUUGUGCCCUGUUCGUUUAGAAAUGCACUGAAAAUGGCCUAGAUGGGCUAUAAAAUUAAACUUCAAUGAAAGAAACACCCAAAAAAAUGAUAACAAGAAAGCAUAUCGAGAACAGUGACAAAAUAAACAGAGCAACAACUAGCAACCUCUUUCCUAGAAUGCAGCAUACACCAAUAAUAAAUAGUUGUACAACGUAUAGAACAGAUCCUGUUCAAGUAAAGCAACUACACUGAUAACAAAAUUGAUGGCUCGAGUUCUUAUUAGCCCUUCAUAUCAAUUGUACGAUGAAUGUCAUCCCACAAUACAACAUCUACUAUUUACUUCAAUUGGUCAGCAGUAUUUACAGUUAAACUAAAUGCUCAAAGACAUAAAGAUCCCUUACCAGCAGUUAUUUGCAAAGCUGAACAUGUCAUCAUCCAAUCCCCAGCAGUCCCGGAUCAAAAUCUCCCUUGCAGCCCCACAUGUCAUAAAUAAAGCCCUUACACUUACUUUAUCACGCAAUUGAGAAUUUUGUAAAUGCAGCCGCUCAAGAGCAGGACAGGAGCUCAAAUACUCAUCCGGACCAGGAUUUGCAUCAAUUCUCUGACACGACAUGAUCUUCAAAGUCUUCAGAUUCUCGCAAUAUGGAAGAC